rnacentral:rRNA from 1 species
AGUGAACGCUGGCGGUAGGCCUAACACAUGCAAGUCGAACGGCAGCACAGUAAGAGCUUGCUCUUACGGGUGGCGAGUGGCGUACGGGUGAGGAAUACAUCGGAAUCUACUUUUUCGUGGGGGAUAACGUAGGGAAACUUACGCUAAUACCGCAUACGACCUACGGGUGUAAGCAGGGGAUCUUCUCACCUGGCGCGAUUGAAUGAGCCGAUGUCGGAUUAGUUGGUUGGCGGGUGAAAGGCCCACCAUGGGGGCGAUCCGUAGCUGGUGUGAGAGGAUGAUCAGCCACACGAGAACGGAGACACCGUCCAGACGCCUACGAGACGGAGCAGUGGGGAAUAGUAGACAACGGGGGCAAGCCUGAUCCAACCGUACGGAGUGUGUGGAGAAGGCGUUCGGGUCGUAAAGACGUUCUGUUGGGAGAGAAACGCAGCAGGUUGAUACCACGCGGGUGUGACGGUACCCAAAGAAGAAGCACCGGCUAACUUCGUG